UAUAACAUAGUAGAGUAGAACAUGUUCGACUCGCUGCGAUCGCGUUGCGACUGACAACCUUCCAGUCGCAAGCAGUCGCAGACUCGUCGCUGGCAGUCACAGGGGUGCUUAGGUCGAACUUUCUCUGUGACGCGAU